rnacentral:snRNA from 1 species
AUACUUACCUGGCAGGGGAGACACCAUGAUCAUGAAGGUGGUUUUCCCAGGGCGAGGCUCACCCGCUGCACUCCGGAUGUGCUGACCCCUGCGAUUUCCCCAAAUGUAAGAAGAUGUGGUAUAUAUUCAC